UGGGGAAUUUUGGACAAUGGGGGCAACCCUGAUCCAGCAAUGCCGCGUGUGCGAAGAAGGCCUUCGGGUUGUAAAGCACUUUUGUCAGGAACGAAACGGUUGCGGCUAAUAUCUGCGACUAAUGACGGUACCUGAAGAAUAAGCACCGGCUAACUACGUGCCAGCAGCCGCGGUAAUACGUAGGGUGCGAGCGUUAAUCGGAAUUACUGGGCGUAAAGCGUGCGCAGGCGGUUUGGUAAGACAGAUGUGAAAUCCCCGGGCUUAACCUGGGAACUGCAUUUGUGACUGCCCGGCUAGAGUGUGUCAGAGGGGGGUAGAAUUCCAUGUGUAGCAGUGAAAUGCGUAGAUAUGUGGAGGAAUACCGAUGGCGAAGGCAGCCCCCUGGGAUAACACUGACGCU
rnacentral:rRNA from 1 species